UGCAAGAGGACGUGGGCCGGGCCCUAUUUCCUAGGUCGAUUUCACCCAAACCUAUUGAGUCUGAGGUCGCCGCCGCCCGCGCGUUCGUCGCAGUCGGAGUCGGAGUCGGAGGACGCCGCCUCGCCGUGGGCCCUUUGCCGGCGAUCCUGCUGUGCAGAUCGGCUGCAACCCAGGCACGAAUUAAGCUUUGGAGCUUUCAGCAGUUGGCAUCAAGAUUUUCCGUGGUCUUCCUCUUGGUCGCUUGGGAAUAUCUGAGUUAUCUGCUUCUUUGCUUUCGCUUAUAGCUUUAACAGUUACAAACUUCCUUGCUUCUGGCUCAAAUCGAGGAUCCAACUCAGAAGACAUACCUUCAGGCAUGAUGUGGCAAUAAUCAGGAGAUAAUAUACACCACAGAAACUGGCAGGAUGAUAAACACUGCCUUGUCUAUUCAACUGAUGGAUCUUUGACACACUUUUUCUUUGGCUUCCUGUCAAGCAAGCUAUGUGGAAUUGUUGAGUACAAUCAGUGCUGCUGGAAGGUUCAGACAAACAAAAGAAUGCAACUUGAUAUUCUAACUGGAUUCAGGUGGCAUGGCCAGUUGCCCGACAUUUACAUUCUUUCAGUUUGGGUGCUUUUUGCUGGUCAGUGUGGAAGUCUACAGAUAUACUCUGCUUUAAGAAAAAAUAUCAUGGCAGCUCAAGAAAUCUUUUCAAUGUGUGCAUUUUUUAACUUUUGGACAUAUUUGCUGAAGGGAUGAUGUAAGGAGAAUGUGAGAGCUGGAGUGGCGCGACUGCAGGAAUUAGUGUUGUCGCACAAGGCUGAGGGUUUGUGGCAUCAGGUGGUGGAGAACGUUCUUUGUUUUUACUGCCUUUCCCUGUAAUAACAGUCUGUACGACCUUCAAUUGCAUAAUAUCUUCAUCAUCUGGUUUGUACUGCCUGCACUAUGCUUCAAAGUUCAAACUCAAGGAAAGAUGCGUGUGGUGUAGUUGUAAGAACUUUGUUAGCUGUUUCUCUUAAUGUUUGUUAACUGUUUUUCUAAUGUAAUCCCUCACUCUUAAAUAAGUUGGCAAAAGCUGCCAGGCACCUGAUUUCUUUUAGUGGAAUACACCUGAUGUUAACUGAA